AAUACACACACAUGGCUAUACUUUGUGGCUAUCGAUGGUUUGAUAACACACAAUGAUUGACUCUUGCAGACCGGAGGGCUGCUUAGAUUUUGGGAAGCAAACGUCAAAUGCGGUUGGGAGUUGAUGGAGUGGAUAUGUUUCUCCUCCAUGCCAAGAUUGCUGAAGACACUAAGGGCUAAACAAUUGUCUCACCAAAAGGUCAGAGUUUCAUAGAUUAUGACAACUGCAAUAUCUAUAGAGGAUGUGAGAAGAUAAGUUAAAACCUACGGGGGUUAUCUGGAUACAACGAUCUGGUAUAAUUCUAUGAUGCGUUCGAGGAAAAUGCCAGUGACUACAUCGUUAUAGAGUAAGAAAAUCAUUUUGAAUUGUGUUUCUUCUUAUUGCAUGUUUUCUUGAAUCUAGCCUCUGAAACAAUAGUAAGUAAAACUCAUUGAAUGUAGAAUUAUAUAAAUUGCUGUUGGUUUAUUUGGAGGUGGAGAAUAGACUAAUGGAGUGGAUGCAGCAGCGCUUAUGGUGGCCAAAGCUGGGAGCAGCGACGGUCCUUCCAUUUCAUGCUUAAACAGCCCAACUUUCCUUCAUGUUGAGCUACGCAGAGAAACUAUGGUGAAGAAGCGUUACAGAAUACAAGGCUCUGUUUCCCGCAAUCGUUUUUCAACAGUACGUAAGAACAUCAUACUGGUUACAUCUGAUCAAUAUCUCUAGCGAUAAUAUAUUGUUAGAAAGAUUCUUAUGCUUGAAAGUUACAAUGAUAUUUUGUGGAAGCCGAGUCUCCCCAGACGAAGUUGCAGCUAGAGGUGUAGAGUUCAUUAACUGGUGGUUACCAUGUAUACUAAAAUAACAUUUUUGUUCCUUUUUAGUUACUAAUUAUUUUCCCAUUGAUUUGAAAAUAUAUAUAUGCCAUUUGCUUUGUCAACGCUCUGGAUAAGGAAAGAAAAGGAGAUUGCAAAUAUAUCUCACAGUGUCUUCCUGCAUGGUGUCUUAACAUAAAUUACGACAUACGAUAGAGUUGUCUUUAGACUUCAAAAAGGUUAUGAUCAAUAUUAUAGUCUCUGAGAUACAUGCAUCAGACGUGCAUAAAACUAUUCAUCAUUUUCCAGCUUCAAGGUUAGAAGGUCAAGCUCCUCAAAUAUUUCCCACUAUUUGUCACACAACAAACCGAGUUGUAUCACAAUUAAAAAAUAAAAUAUCACACUGUAAUACUAUUUGUAGCUCUAAUGUAGUAUUUGAAUUCAUUAUUUUAUUCCAUUCUAAACAAAUGUUUUCAUCGCUAAUAUAUAAAACAUGACCAGACUGUCUGCUUGAAUUGUGUUAGCAACCUUCUUGACACCAAACUCAUAUUGUUCUUUUAUUUUGAUACUUUAUGCUUGGUGUCAUGUAAUUUUGCUGCAGUUAAUAUAUCAACUUUUCCAUUUUAAUUAGUUAAUUAAUAUUUUUGACUAAGUUAUAUGUUAGCUUUGAGUGAAAGAUGUUUCCAAGAACUGAAGAGUGGUUGGAAUAGAUGGAAGAAACAAGCUACUUUUGAAAGAGCCAUCGGCAAUGCAAUUUUGUCAGAUUAUAUUUCAUCUGAUUCUUGAAAAAUUCAAAUACUUCAAAGAUUUUGUUAGACUACAUUUGGUGACGUUUCCAAGUAAGCUAUAUAUACACACACCAAAAAUGAAAAUAUAUGGAUGAAAACAAUUCGUUUCUUUUUAUCUUUUUCUAACGUGAAGGCAAUUAUUUUCAAUAAAUAAUUAAAAUCCUAAAUAAUACUUUAAGAGAAUUUUUUACAAUAGAUCAUUAUUUAUUAUUAAAAAAAUAGUAGAAACAUAUACAUGCAUGUGUUAGACAAAUCUAGGACCCACAAAUUACCAACCAACAAAAUAAAAAAUCUACAUAAACAAAAUUUACAAUACCCACAGAAGAUCAAGAGUAUAUAACACACCAUAUAUUAUAAAGACAAAGAACAAAAAAAAACAGAAAUACCAACAAAUCACAAGUUAUAAUGUACUUCACGCUUAAAUAUUUGUAGUAUUGGUAUCUUAAUGUAACUUAAAAAGACAUAAACUGAAAACCAUCACAAAAUAUCCAUUGUAAAUUUAACGAACAAACAAAAUUUGUUUACAAAAAAAUAUAACUUAAAUAAAAA